AUCAUAAUAAAUACACGUGUCUGCUCAGGGGAUUUUGACGAGUGGAAACAGAGAUUUAUUGUUCUUGAGACAAUAAAAACGGCAGAGUCCGCUGAGCCAACUUACCAGAAGAGGAGCUUGUGUGCGCCGGGGCCGUCCGCAUCCACUGCCUCCCGCUGGUGCCCCGUCUUCCGCUCUCGGCCCACGGUGCCAGUCGCCUCCCCUCCGUCUUCCCAGCCUAGGUUAAUCAGGCUGCAGCGCUUUCGUUAGGCGAGCUCCGGAGGGCGGCGAAGGGGGGACCGAAGCCAAUGCGCGGCUGUGGCCAGCAGAUAUACAAAAAAGAAACACUUGGGCCCCCCCGCCAACUACGCAGCUUUGGGUAUUUCAGCAAAAAAAAACUGGCAAAAUCGGUCCAAGUUAACACGGCUCUGUUGAAUGAUGGAUUAUUAAAAUAUAUUUCAAAUUUUUAUUACAGUAAACAACAGUUGCUCUUAAUUUAAUGGCAGUGUUUUUAAUGACCGGGCGUAACCAUCGAUUAAGUGCGCGCCUGCGUCAUCACUAGGCGACAAACUCGUAUGAGCAAAAACGUGGGAGCACCUUGGGAAGACAUCACGGUGAUAGUUCGGGUGGUCUGCUGUUUUCAUGCCCGGUACAUCAUAGGUCUGAGAAUAGUAAACGUUAUUCAUUGGCACUUUUAGAUACGUUAAAUCUGUCUAACAUGUGGUUUAGGUCACAUAUCUUAAUUCAUUAGAGUUUUUCAAACAGUACAAACAAGCAUAGUGUCUUGCAGAGUUCUCGGGACCGCUCGACCUGAUCUCGGCCUUGUUUCCGUCUGGAGCCCAUUUUGUCUUGAUAUUGGCUAUAACUGUGGAAAUAUUACAAAACACAUUAUCCGAAUCGAUAUGCAUAUACACUUCUUUCCCCUCACUAAGCGGAAAUGAAUUUUCCUGCGCUGUCCUCUUGUAGCAAAUAUACUUAAGAUGAACUGCAUCUCCCAGCUGCCCCGGCGGUAUAAAACUAUUGGACAGCUUCAGAAGGCGCAGGGGCUGCUGGGAAGAGAUACUGAGCAAGCGGGUCAUUUAAAAAUGAACAUGAAAGAUUUCGGGAUGAGAGUCACUAAGCUAAACUGGUCAGGACACUGUGGAUAUCCUCUUUUAUUUACUGUGGAAAAAAAGGGAAGGAAAAGAAAUGCCUGCACAUUUACAAUAAACAGAUCCAUGUUCCAGGACAUAUGAAAUGAAUCAAGAACAAAUGCAAAAAUCAUUAUUCACUUUGUACUGUUAACUGUACCAAUAAAUGACUUAACAUUUUACUGACAAAAUGACCUAUGCAGGUCUGGGGUUUGUCUUAACAUUUGACUGUAUUGAGGACGGCUCAGCAGCACAAUGGGUAUCAGUGUUGCCUGGGUUGUUGGGUUGAAUCCCACCCACUCUCUGCCUCUGUUUAUUGGGGUGGUGUGUGACUCAGUGGGUUAAGGCAUUAUGCUUGUGUGAGUCACCAGUCCAAAUGGCAGCUAGCAGAGUGACAUCACCGUUGGGCCAUUUGAGCAAGGCCCUUAACCCCUUAAUUGCUGUAGGGACUCUCUCACCGCAGUUUCAACUGUACAUUGUUUUGGGUAAAAGAGUCUGGUAAAAUUGUAAUUCUGUGUGAAGUUUGCACAUUUUCCCUUUGUUGUGUGGCAUGCAGUAAAGUUAACAUGUGUGUCUAAGUUACCUGUGACUGAUAGUGUGCCUGUAUAUAUGUUUCCUCUUAAUGGACGGGCAUCUGUCCUAUCCAGUGUAACCACUGCCUUACGCUCUAUGCCAGUGAUUCCCAAACCAGUCCUUGGGGACCCGCAGACGGCCCACACAUCUGCUGUCUCCUGACUCC